rnacentral:rRNA from 1 species
ACAAGCGGUGGAGUAUGUGGUUUAAUUCGAUGCAACGCGAAGAACCUUACCUGGUCUUGACAUCCCGGAGACCCUUAGGAAACUAGGGGUGCUUCCAUCUGGAAGAAUCUGGAGACAGGUGCUGCAUGGCUGUCGUCAGCUCGUGUCGUGAGAUGUUGGGUUAAGUCCCGCAACGAGCGCAACCCUUGCCUUUAGUUGCCAGCAGUUCGGCUGGGCACUCUAAAGGGACUGCCGGUGUUAAACCGGAGGAAGGUGGGGAUGACGUCAAGUCCUCAUGGCCUUUAUGACCAGGGCUACACACGUACUACAAUGGCCGAUACAAAGGGCAGCGACACUGCGAGGUGAAGCCAAUCCCGUAAAAUCGGUCUCAGUCCGGAUUGGAGUCUGCAACUCGACUCCAUGAAGUUGGAAUCGCCUUAGUAACUCGUCGGAUCAGACAUAGACCUACGGUGAAUACGUUCCGGGCCGUU